rnacentral:rRNA from 1 species
CCUACGGGAGGCAGCAGUGAGGAAUAUUGCACAAUGGGGGAAACCCUGAUGCAGCGAAGCCGCGUGAGUGAAGAAGGAUUUAGGUACGUAAAGCUCUAUCAGCAGGGAAGAAAAUGACGGUACCUGACUAAGAAGCCCCGUCUAACUACGUGCCAGGAGCCGCGGUCACACGUAGGGGGCAGGAGUUAUCCGGAUUUACUGGGUGUAAAGGGGGCGUAGACGGCAGCGCAGGUCCGGAGGGAAAUCCCAGGGCUUAACCAUGGAACUGCUGUGGAAACUGUGCAGCUGGAGUGCAGUAGAGGUAAGCGGAAUUCCUGGUGUAGCGGUGAAAUGCGUAGAUAUUAGGCGGAACACCAGUGGCGAAGGCGGCGUACUGGACUGUAACUGACGUUGAGGCUCGAAGGCGUGGGGAGCAAACAGGAUUAGAUACCCCAGUAGUC